GCCUACGGCCAUACCACCCUGAGAACGCCCGAUCUCGUCUGAUCUCGGAAGCCAAUCAGGGUCGGGCCCGGUUAGUACUUGGAUGGGAGACCGCCUGGGAAUACCGGGUGCUGUAGGCU
rnacentral:rRNA from 1 species